ensembl:lncRNA
UGCUCUCCGGCUGGAUCACCGCUCUCCUGACUCUGACUCUCAUACCUCAGUCUGCAGUCACCUAUGGCAGCCUCUCUCUCAGCACUGUCAGGCUGCCGGGCCGCGCCCUUCCGCAGACCUUCAUCCUCAUCCAAGCUGCGUGUGUGACUCCGGCACCCAUCAGCCUGGCUUGUCCUCUUACAGCCACAGUUCGUCUCUUAGAGCUUUCUUCGGGACCUCUGGCUGCAAGGCCUUUUCCCCUCCAGGGAGAUGGAUCCUAACAGACCUUCCCGGAGAGCCUCUCCCCGCAGGGCAGACAUCUACCAGCAAGCGCUACAGUGAGGCAGAGACAAGACCAGCUGCACCAAAGGUGGAGAAAAAAAGCAAGAAAAAGAAAUUCCACAGAAGCCCAGAGGGAAGGAUAGGAUUUUCUUCCUGCCCAGCAGCUAGUUGGAGAGAGUUGGAGCUGUCCCUGGAACGGCUGUUGAUGCUGCAUGCAGUAGUGGCUUUUCAUAGUUUCCACCAACAGGACACCUUGACAGAGUCACCGGGGAGGUAAAGAUGGGCAGAUCCCUGUGGGCCCGUGGCCAGCCAUCUGCAUAGGCCCCUUGGCAAAUUCCAGGCCAGUGAAAGACACUGUCUAAAAAACAAAAAGCAAACUCACCAGGUGGAUUACAUAGAUACGCACGCAUGCACGCACGCACGCACGCACGCACACACACACACACACACACAUGCAUGCACACCAAUAUAUCAGUUUGAUGAACAGUUUCCUUUCAAUGUUCUUUACUGUUGCCCUUGAUCUGACUAAAGUCUCCUUAUUAGUUUGUUUACAUUUGAUUGCUCCUUUCUUUCCAUUUUUAUUGAGAACUCCUUUCCACAAACUCUCACUCCGCUAGAAACAGGAGCUAUUUUAAAAAUUAGGUUAGGAGUUUUUCCUCUUUCUUUACAUCUUUAAAGAAUGGAUAAAGAAGUAGGUCGCGGCCUACUUCUAGAAAAGGCCUCACUGAGGGACACACAAGAGGGGCAGCAGCGAAACGUCCUCUCUCUAUCCUGAUAGAUGGCACUAGCAAAGCCAAAACUGUAUGUGUGUGACUUCUCUCUUGUCAGGAGGAAGGUGUGGGUUUGUAUAUUUCAGGACUACAGAGACGCCCAUAACAAAGAAAGGCAGGGUUCUUAGAAAAAGAGAGCAAACUGGAUUAUGAAUGGCCAAAAAGAGAGGAAAAGAACCAUCUUUUGGUGAUCAGGAACAGGACUGAAACAUUCCAAUAAAGAGGUCUGGAGUUUGUGAUGGAGCCCGGAG